GGCUGUGUCCCUCUCAGGGCAUUGUGUCUGGGAGUGCCAUGUCCUAUGAGUUGUUUAUUCAGGUGAGCCCAGGAGUACUGGGGAAGUGACCCCAGGACAUGCUCGCAGGGGAGUGGAGAUUGACAGAGGGGAGGAAACAGGGACUGGGGGAGUGCCAGCCUGGCCUAACGACAUUCAACUAAAAAAUGAAAUUAAUGUUGUGCCUGCUCCCGCUCCAGCAGGCAGAUAGAAUGUACAGCAGGCCGGGUAUGUGCCAGCCACCCAGACCACCUCUGAGGACAGCAUCUCCCCCUUACAGACAAACAAGUCCCCAAGGCUCAGAGCACGUCAUCUCUCUCCAGCUGUGACAAGGAGGGGACCCUCCGCUGUCCCUCCGGACCCUGUCCAGCUUAGGCAUGACCUGUCUCACACAUUCUUUGAGCUAAAAGGACCUUAAUGGUCACUGGCUCCAUCCUGCCCAUUUUACAGGUGUGGGUGUGGAGGCCCAGGGAGGAGGCAUAAUUUGGCAAGCCACACAGCCAAGGGUGGCCAUGCCAAGACUCAAAACCCAGGCUCUGAACUCCUAGCCUGGUGUUCUUAACUCUGUGCCACCCAACCCCCGCCCAGCACCAGCCUCUAUCCAGUGCUGAGGUCUGUACGUGAUGUCUAACCAAGGGGCACCUCCAGGAAUCUAAUGUCGGUUAAAAAUAAAACAAAGGGAAGCCACUGUCCCCCCGGGCCCUAUGGCCUCCUUGUCGUCCGCAGCUGUCUGGUCUGAGGUGGACUUUGCUGAGUUGAACAGAGCCCAGCCCUGCCUCUGCGGCAGCCUACUUCCAGACGACACGUGGAGAGCCGUGGAGCCAGUGGCUCAGCUGCUGUGCGGUUUUCAUAACUCACCUUUGCUGUAAGGGGAACAAAGUCGAGGGGAACGCUGGGGUCCAUGUGAUGUGACUUGGAAUGAAUUCAGAUGCCCUGAGCUAAAAUUAGCCUAUCUUACUACUUCCAAAGGUUUCCAUUGUACUUGGCCAAUGACCAGCCUGAAAUAAGAUCCCCUUUGGUAAGUUCAGCAGCUUCGCCUUGCACCUUCCUAACGAAGCAUUCAGGGCCCCCACCUCCCUGCAAACCUCAGAGAAACAUUAAACGAUAUUAAGAAGUGAUGCUGUGGCAUCCUUGGUAUAUUGGGGUGGGGCCACUCAUGAGGCCAGCUGGGGUUGACCUUGAGGAUGUGAGAGAUUCUCCCUGGAAAGGGGGUGGCAGGGGCCAGAUAUCACUCACCUCAGCCCACCACCAAGACUUGAGUCAAAAGUUACCUAUAGGCCGAGCACAGUGGCUCACACCUGUAAUCCCAGCACUUUGGGAGGCCGAAGCGGGCAGAUCACGAGGUCAGGAGAUAGAGACCAUCCUGGCCAACACGGUGAAACUCUGUCUCUACUAAAAAUACAAAAAAAUUAGCUGAGCGAGGUGGUGCAUGCUUGUAGUCCCAGCUACUCAGGAGGCUGAGGCAGGAGAAUUACUUGAACCCAGGAGGCGGAGGUUGCAGUGAGCCAAGAUUGCGCCACUGCACUACAGCCUGGUGACAGAGCAAGACCCUGUCUCAAAAAAAAAAAAAAAAAAAAAA
rnacentral:lncRNA from 1 species